AAAGUCGUAACAAGGUUUCCGUAGGUGAACCUGCGGAAGGAUCAUUAAAAAUAUAGCAAACCGAGCGUUAGCGAGGUUUUGCGAUCAAAAUUGUAUUUAAAACCCAACUCUUUGAAUCAAAUAUAUAAAUUAUGUAUCAUAAAUAGAUAAAAGAUCACUUUCAACAACGGAUCUCUUGGCUCUC
rnacentral:misc_RNA from 1 species